rnacentral:rRNA from 1 species
ACGCGCGGAACCUUACCAGGCCUUGACAUCGCCCGGAAAGCCGUGGAAACACGGCCCUCCUUCGGGACCGGGUGACAGGUGGUGCAUGGUCGUCGUCAGCUCGUGUCGUGAGAUGUUGGGUUAAGUCCCGCAACGAGCGCAACCCUUGCCCUUAGUUGCCAGCACUUCGGGUGGGCACUCUAUCGGGACUGCCGGUGUAAACCGUGAGGAAGGUGGGGAUGACGUCAAAUCAGCACGGCCCUUACAUCCA